GACGAACGCUGGCGGCGUGCUUAACACAUGCAAGUCGAACGGUGAAGGGACCAGCUUGCUGGUUCUGGAUGAGUGGCGAACGGGUGAGUAACACGUGAGUAACCUGCCCCCUUCUUCUGGAUAACCGCAUGAAAGUGUGGCUAAUACGGGAUAUUCUGGGUCUGUCGCAUGGCGGGCCCGGGAAAGAUAUUGCUUCGGUGGGGGAUGGGCUCGCGGCCUAUCAGCUUGUUGGUGGGGUGAUGGCCUACCAAGGCGGUGACGGGUAGCCGGCCUGAGAGGGUGGCCGGUCACACUUGGACUUAGACACGGCCCAGACUCCUACGGGAGGCAGCAGUGGGGAAUAUUGCACAAUGGGCGCAAGCCUGAUGCAGCGACGCCGCGUGAGGGAUGGAGGCCUUCGGGUUGUAAACCUCUUUCGCCAGUGAAGCAGGCCUGCUCCUUGUGGGUGGGUUGACGGUAGCUGGAUAAGAAGCGCCGGCUAACUACGUG
rnacentral:rRNA from 1 species